rnacentral:rRNA from 1 species
GCAUAUCAAUAAGCGGAGGAAAAGAAACUAACAAGGAUUCCCCCUAGUAACUGCGAGUGAAGCGGGAAAAGCUCAAAUUUAAAAUCUGGCGUCCUUUGGUCGUCCGAGUUGUAAUCUAGAGAAGUGUUUUCUGUGCUGGACCGUGUACAAGUUUCUUGGAACAGAACAUCAUAGAGGGUGAGAAUCCCGUCUUUGACACGGACUGCCAGUGCUCUGUGAUGCACUCUCGAAGAGUCGCGUUGUUUGGGAAUGCAGCGCAAAAUGGGUGGUGAAUUCCAUCUAAAGCUAAAUAUUGGCGAGAGACCGAUAGCGAACAAGUACCGUGAGGGAAAGAUGAAAAGCACUUUGGAAAGAGAGUUAAACAGUACGUGAAAUUGUUGAAAGGGAAACGCUUGAAGUCAGUCGCGUCUUGCGGAACUCAGCCUUGCUUUUUGCUUGGUGUAUUUUCUGUUCGACGGGCCAGCAUCGAUUUCGACCGUCGGAUAAAGUGUGAGGGAAUGUGGCAUCCUCGGAUGUGUUAUAGCCCUCGCUCGCAUACGACGGUUGGGAUCGAGGACCGCAGCACGCCUUUUUGGCCGGGGUUCGCCCACGUACGUGCUUAGGAUGCUGGCGUAAUGGCUUUAAACGACCCGUCUUGAAACACGGACCAAGGAGUCUAACAUGCCUGCGAGUGUUUGGGUGGAAAACCCAUGCGCGCAAUGAAAGUGAAAGUUGGGACCUCUGUCGUGGAGGGCACCGACGCCCGGUCUUGAGCCUCGGCGACGGAUCCGCGGUUGAGCAUGUAUGUUGGGACCCGAAAGAUGGUGAACUAUGCCUGAAUAGGGUGAAGCCAGAGGAAACUCUGGUGGAGGCUCGUAGCGAUUCUGACGUGCAAAUCGAUCGUCAAAUUUGGGGUAUAGGGGGCGAAAGACUAAUCGAACCAUCUAGUAGCUGGUUUCCUGCCGAG